GAUCCUGGCUCAGGAUGAACGCUAGCUACAGGCUUAACACAUGCAAGUCGAGGGGCAGCAUGAGAUUAGCUUGCUAAUCUUGAUGGCGACCGGCGCACGGGUGAGUAACGCGUAUCCAACCUUCCCCCUACUCAGGCAUAGCCCGGUGAAAACCGGAUUAACUCCUGAUAGUUUCACUAGAUGGCAUCUGACGGUGAAUAAAGCUCAGCGGUAAGGGAUGGGGAUGCGUCUGAUUAGCUUGUUGGCGGGUAACGGCCACCAAGGCGACGAUCAGUAGGGUUCUGAGAGGAAGGUCCCCCACAUUGGAACUGAGACACGGUCCAAACUCCUACGGGAGGCAGCAGUGAGGAAUAUUGGUCAAUGGGCGCGAGCCUGAACCAGCCAAGUAGCGUGCCAGGAUGACGGCCCUAUGGGUUGUAAACUGCUUUUGUAUGGGAAUAAAGUCAGGGACGUGUCCCUGUUUGCAUGUACCAUAAGAAUAAGGACCGGCUAAUUCCGUGCCAGCCGCUGC
rnacentral:rRNA from 1 species